GCCUGGUGCAGUGGUGCACGCCUGUAGUCCCAGCUACUUGGGAGGCUGAGACAGGAAGAUCGCUUGAGUCCAGGAGUUCUGGGCUGUAGUGCCCUAUGCAGAUCAGUUGUCUGCUCUAAGUUCGGCAUCAAUCUGGUGACCUCCCGGAGCUGGGGUUCACCAGGUUGCCUAAGGAGGGGCGAACCGGCCCAGGUCGGAAACGGAGCAGGUCAAAGCUCCGUGCUGGUCAGUAAAAAUGGUUUACCUUUAGGUUUAAUAUGUGCCAUCAUUUCUCUUUAGCAUGGCAAGCACACAGCUCUCAAUGCUUGU
ensembl:misc_RNA Metazoa_SRP Metazoan signal recognition particle RNA